UGUUUAAAACUUCCAGUGAAGACACAUAACCAUCAUAAGAUUCAUCCAAAGAAGAAAGAAUGAUGUAAACUUGAUGCAACUCUGAGAAAAUCAGCUCCUUUUCUUGUAGCUCUUGUAAAGUCCUUUUCUUAAGCUCCAAAUGAGCUAACAUAUCGCCACCUUUUAUAAGACAGGCUCCAAACAGUUUAUGUGUAAGGUGUAUGUGUGCACCCACACUAUCUCGAACAUAAAUCUUCUUCAAAAUGUCCCAACAUCUAGCAGUAGAUUCUUCACCACGAAUAUGGACUAGCUGCUGAUCACUCAGUGUCAGUCCAAUUAUACUAAGAGCCUUUUCAUUAUCCCGGUUAAAGUCAGCUAUUUUCUUUUUAUCUUUAUCAUUCAAUGGGUCCCAAGCUGUUACAUCCGGUGGACUUUCUCACUACAGGCCAU